AGCAAAUCUCAAAAAAACAAUCUCAGUUCAGACUGCAGGCUGCAACUCGCCUGCACGAAGUCGGAAUUGCUAGUAAUCGUAGGUCAGCAUACUACGGUGAAUACGUUCCCGGGCCUUGUACACACCGCCCGUCAAACCAUGAGAGUUGGCAACACCCGAAGUCGGUAGUCUAACCGCAAGGAGGACGCCGCCGAAGGUGGGGUUGAUGAUUAGGGUUAAGUCGUAACAAGGUAGC
rnacentral:rRNA from 1 species